rnacentral:rRNA from 1 species
CCUACGGGUGGCAGCAGUGAGGAAUAUUGGUCAAUGGCCGAGAGGCUGAACCAGCCAAGCCGCGUGAAGGACGAAUGUGCCAAGCAUUGUAAACUUCUUUUGUCAAGGGACAAAAUGAGGCUCGAGAGCCUGACCGCAGGUACUUUAUGAAAAAGCAUCGGCUAACUCCGUGCCAGCAGCCGCGGUAAUACGGAGGAUGCGAGCGUUAUCCGGAUUUAUUGGGUUUAAAGGGUGCGUAGGCGGGUUGUUAAGUCAGGGGUAAAAGCCCGGGGCUCAACCCCGGCGAGCCGUUGAAACUGGUUGUCUUGAGAUGUCGAGAGGUAUGCGGAAUGCGCAGUGUAGCGGUGAAAUGCUUAGAUAUUGCGAAGAACACC